AGCUGGGACAGAUGCAAAUUUGUCACGGAUGUCGAGUUCUGGGAGUCGCAAGAUUUUCCAGUCUUGAUUCCACCAGUUCUAUGUAAAAAGAGGCCCUCUGCUCUUGACUGCGUGGAGGUGUCCGCUUAUGACCUUUUACUUUGAAAAAAUUAGGGUGUUCAAAGCAGGUCUUUAUUGCCUGAAUACAUUAGCAUGGGAUAAUAGAAUAUGGCUUGGUUGUUAUGUUCUGUUGGUUAAACACCAGGCA
rnacentral:rRNA from 1 species